GAGUUUGAUCCUGGCUCAGGAUGAACGCUAGCGGCAGGCUUAACACAUGCAAGUCGAGGGGCAGCACGAUGUAGCAAUACAUUGGUGGCGACCGGCGCACGGGUGCGUAACACGUAUGGAAUCUGCCUUGUACUGGGAGAUAGCCCUCCGAAAGGAGGAUUAAUAUCCCAUAAUAGUCUGAGUGGCAUCACUUGGAUUUGAAAGCUCCGGCGGUACAAGAUGACCAUGCGCACGAUUAGCUAGUAGGUGAGGUAACGGCUCACCUAGGCUACGAUCGUUAGGGGGCCUGAGAGGGUUAUCCCCCACACUGGUACUGAGACACGGACCAGACUCCUACGGGAGGCAGCAGUGAGGAAUAUUGCGCAAUGGAGGCAACUCUGACGCAGCCAUGCCGCGUGCAGGAUGAAGGCGCUACGCGUUGUAAACUGCUUUUAACCGGGAAGAAACCCCAGGACGUGUCCUGGGUUGACGGUACCGGAGGAAUAAGCACCGGCUAACUUCGUGCCAGCAGCCGCGGUAAUCC
rnacentral:rRNA from 1 species